rnacentral:rRNA from 1 species
CCUACGGGAGGCAGCAGUGAGGAAUAUUGGUCAAUGGGCGCGAGCCUGAACCAGCCAAGUCGCGUGAGGGAAGACGGUCCUAUGGAUUGUAAACCUCUUUUGUCGGGGAGCAAAAGACGCCACGCGUGGCGUUCCGAGAGUACCCGAAGAAAAAGCAUCGGCUAACUCCGUGCCAGCAGCCGCGGUAAUACGGAGGAUGCGAGCGUUAUCCGGAUUUAUUGGGUUUAAAGGGUGCGCAGGCGGAAGAUCAAGUCAGCGGUAAAAUUGAGAGGCUCAACCUCUUCGAGCCGUUGAAACUGGUGUUCUUGAGUGAGCGAGAGGUAUGCGGAAUGCGUGGUGGAGCGGUGAAAUGCAUAGAUAUCACGCAGAACUCCGAUUGCGAAGGCAGCAUACCGGCGCUCAACUGACGCUCAUGCACGAAAGUGUGGGUAUCGAACAGGAUUAGAUACCCGGGUAGUC